CCUUGUGUUUUGGGAGUUUCCCAAAAAAAAUUUGAUUUUUACCCAUAGUCCCCCACAUAUCACCCAACCUCACAACCGUCUCCCAGAAGAAGAACAACGACCCCGGCAAAUCCCCACUAUCACGGCGGCAGUACCCAUUGUUUGUAAUCACCGUGAAUCGGAAUUGACAGGAGGUAUGCCAGCAGCUAUGCAAAAGGUUGCCCGAAUUCUUGACAGUGAUCUAUGCAAAAGGUUCUUAACAGCGAUCUAUGCAAAAGGUUGCCCUAAUUCUUAACAGCGAUGAGUUAAGGUAUUUUUGCUCUUUAUUUCGAUUAUCUAGAGUUUUUAAUCGGAAUUUUAAAUCAUCUCAACUAGAUAUAUGUUUGCUUUAUUUUUCACGAAUCUGUUUCUUUUAUUCUAUUAAUUGAUUAUGCAAUUCUUCAGAAAUUGGUGUGAAGUUACCUAAAUAGACCACUUUUGAAGGAAUAAGUUUUGUUGAUUAUUGAUAUUGAAGGUAUAGAUUUUGUUGAUUAUUGAUAUGUGUAAUGUUGAUUGCUGGUUUUGGUUUUGUUUUAGUUUUUUGUUUGAAGGGAUUAAACGGUAAAUAUAUGAUGAGGGUGAUUAUGCUUAUUAGUAGUCUUCAAAUCAAGUGGCCAUUUAUUUCUGAACAUUGUUUUAGGGAGAUUUGGUGUUUGUUAGACAUAGAUGGAUAUCACACAGCUAUCACCACAUUGGUGGGGUGGUAGAGGCUUUGUGCCUCUUGGAGAGAGACCAGAAAGGGAGACUUUUGAAGGUUCUGGGUUCAGUCGGGCAUCCAAUUCGCCCAAGAUUUGAAGAUAUACAGAAAUGCUGAUUCUUCACAUAAAACUGAAGCAGAUAAUUGAAGAAUUUGUUAAGUCACAACAAAGGAAGAGACAUGGUGAAGAGAUGAGUAUGCAAAGCUAAUGGAGGGAUACAAUAAAAUGCAGCAAGAAAAAGACAUUCUAACGAAGAAACUAAAAGCAUGGAAACCCUACAUCAAGAGCUUAUCAAAAUCUGGAACUCAAAGCAAAAGAACAAAAGGUGAUUAAAGGAUUGAAACAAUUUCUUUGCUCAGACAAAAUGGGCUUCGAGGACAACUUUUGGCUAUUUAAGCAGGAGGUAGAAUUUGUUUUCAUUCAAUUGUAGUGACUUUUGAAAGAGGAUUAAAGUGAUUUUUGUGUUGUAUAACCCGUUAGGCAUGAAAGGUGGGUUGAACUCUAAAUUUUUAUGGAUAUUAUACAACAUUUAUGAGUUUUUGUAAAGAAAACUCUUGAAACCAAAA